rnacentral:rRNA from 1 species
CCCUUAGAUGUUCUGGGCUGCACGCGCGCUACACUGAAGCUAUCAACACGUUUUCCCUCCCUGAGAAGGGCGGGUAACCUUUUGAAUCAGCUUCGUGGUAGGGAUCGGGGCUUGCAAUUGUUCCCCGUGAACCAGGAAUUCCUAGUAGACGCGAGUCAUAAGCUCGCAUCGAUUAAGUCCCUGCCCUUUGUACACACCGCCCGUCGCCACUACCGAUUGAACGUUUUAGUGAGGCAUUUGGACCGACGCAUCUCAGUUUAACCGCUGGUUUGUGUUGGAAAGACUUCCAAACUUGAGCGUUUAGAGGAAGUAAAAGUCGUAACA